UAGAAGAGUAGCCAGUGCGUUACAAGGAAGUUAGAAUGAUAUUUUUAAAAUUUUGCUUUUUAACAUUUCAGCCAUCAUGCUAAGAUAAUAUAUUUUAUGAUGUUUGUGUGUGUGUGUGUGUGUGUGUGUGUGUGUGCUUCUUUUAA